rnacentral:lncRNA from 1 species
GUGGUUAGUCCCACUUUACAGAGGAAACUGGCACGGAGGGGCUGAGAGACUUGCCUAAGGUUAGACAGCUGACAGUGCACCUCAAAUCUGGCAGUUUGGCUCUGGUGUCGACGACCUCACCCGGCUCUGUGCCGCCCUUUGGCCCAGCCACACCCAGAGACCACCCCUCAUUCCCAACCCAGGCUCCAGUCUUUGGCUCUUACUCAGAACUCAGGGGAGAGCAGAGUGGAGCAGAUCAGGUGGCACUACCAAGUGUGCUAGCACCCCCUCCACUGACUUCAGUACUCCCCAUCCAGGAACCUGGAGCCACUAUGCUGCCCCCGACUGGUCGCCUUCUCCGCGGGACAUGGGCCUCGCAGGCGGCGCAGGGAGGACUGAGUAUAGCCCGCAGGUAGUGAGCCACCUGCGCGUCAGGGGCAGGCAAGUGCGCGGCGGUCCUGGAGGCAUCCCUCCGGGAGCCACCGCACCUGCACAGCCUGCGCUGAAUGAUCCGCCCAGCGCCGGGCCGCGACAGCCACCGUUUCCCUCCCCUUCCCCCUCGUGGAAAUGGACCCCAGCCAGAGAGAUCCCAAGCCGAGAGCCAGAGUCAGCUGAAAACUCUCCUGGCUAUUGGUGGCUGGAACUUUGAGACUGCUCACUUCGCCUCCAUGGUUUCCACUCCUGAGAACUGCCAGACUUUUAUUGCCUCAGUCAUCAAAUUCCUGUGCCAGUGUGAGUUUGAUGGGCUGGACUUUGAUUGGGAGUAGACUGGCUGUCGUGGGAGCACACCUCAGGGGAAGCAUCUCGUCACUAUCCUGGUGCAGGUGAACUGCAUUCCGUAUCAUUUUGACUGGAAACCACACAACGAGUCUCCUUUGAAAGAUCAUUGAAGCUGUAUAGAAAACCUAGCUCCCUAAGUGGGAAAUAAAGGACCUGGAGACCCUAUUCUAGUGAGGAUG